CCUACGGGAGGCAGCAGUGAGGAAUAUUGGUCAAUGGGCGAGAGCCUGAACCAGCCAAGUCGCGUGAGGGAGUACUGCCCUAUGGGUUGUAAACCUCUUUUGUCGGGGAGCAAAAGCCGGACGUGUCCGGCUGUGAGAGUACCCGAAGAAAAAGCAUCGGCUAACUCCGUGCCAGCAGCCGCGGUACUACGGGGGAUGCGAGCGUUAUCCGGUUUUAUUGGGUUUAAAGGGUGCGCAGGCGGAUUUUUAAGUCAGCGGUAAAAUCGUGGGGCUCAACCCCAUCCAGCCGUUGAAACUGGGGAUCUAGAGUGUGCGAGAGGUAUGCGGAAUGCGUGGUGUAGCGGUGAAAUGCAUAGAUAUAACGCAGAACCCCGAUUGCGAAGGCAGCAUACCGGUGCACAACUGACGCUCAGGCACGAAAGCGUGGGUAUCGAACAGGAUUAGAUACCCGGGUAGUC
rnacentral:rRNA from 1 species